UCCGAGUUGACCCCGGCAGUCUCCUACGAGUCCCCGGCAUUACCCGCUGGCAACAUAGGACAAGGGUUGCGCUCGUUGCGGGACUUAACCCAACAUCUCACGACACGAGCUGACGACAGCCAUGCACCACCUGUGAUGGUGUCCCGAAGGAAAACCGUGUUUCCACGGCGGUCAGGAACAUGUCAAACCCAGGUAAGGUUCUUCGCGUUGCGUCGAAUUAAACCACAUGCUCCGCUGCUUGUGCGGGUCCCCGUCAAUUCCUUUGAGUUUUAGCCUUGCGGCCGUACUCCCCAGGCGGGGCACUUAUCGCGUUAGCUACGGCACCGACGGGGUCGCUCCCCCCGGCACCUAGUGCCCAUCGUUUACAGCGUGGACUAC
rnacentral:misc_RNA from 1 species